rnacentral:misc_RNA from 1 species
UAAUUUUCGAUGACUUCUCGUCUUUUUGUCGAGCCGGAGCCUCCGCUGACGAAUGGUAGGGGUAGGGUGUUAGUCUGGGUUGGUCCUCUCCUGCCUUUGGUUGGUGCUCGCCAGAUACAGUCUACCUUGUUCUGAUAACAAAAUCGAUGUAUCUGUUUGGCAGCUCGCGACUGUUAGUACCGUGGAAUACUAUCUUUCAUUUAGAUGUGCAAUGUAGUGUACAGUAUUGUUUGCAUCGUUUCAGGCCAAUGAUCCACGGUUCUUACUCUCAGCACCAGUAAUCCUUUACAACAACUAGUUGAUGUAAGUUCCGCAACACGGGCAUGCACCAAUCUCGACUUCGUACCGCUACACUGGAACUUAAAUUUUGGACUUUUAAAACUAUAUUCUACUUUUAUCCUGAUUCCAGGAUCCUCCCUACCAACCUCUAAGUGUCGAGGUCUGUAGAGCUGGAAUAUAUUAUGCCAACAUCUCACGGGACGUCCAUAUUUGUCUAGUUGGUCUGAUCGGAUGCUGCUAUUCAUAGAAAUUUACACAAACCCGGGAGUAUGUGGAUAGAGAGGAAAGUUUGUUCUUAAGAGGAAUGCACGUGCUUAUUGCUUUUAUUUGAUAUGGCUGCAUAGCAUGCACCAUUAAUUUGAUAGUGAUCAACGAAAAGAAAGUACUAUUCUGUUGGAUCAUCGUUGGUUAUAUGAAUUGCAGUGAGGUAUUAUAUAAGUGUCGAUCAGGCCUAUGUGGAUCAGCAUUAACAUAAUAUAUCUGUAGGUUUAUAGUUUGUGAUCUGUUAAUCUCCGGUGACCCCGCCCCCCGGGAUUUAACCUCUAACCUCGGAAUGGGAUCCCUCGCUAAGGAAGUUCUCCGCCUGAGAGACCUAAAGAUUUUAAAGAAAGGUGAGGAUGAAAAGGGAUUCGCAAAGUAUGAUGAAUUGGACGAGGUUUACUCGGAGGAGGAAGAAGGGAAAUACACCGGAAGUAGAUUUAAUUUCAACAUCCGGUGUAAUUGCUGUAAGAACUGUUCAUGUGGACAGCGAUAUGUGAUAGCGUUUCUUAGUAGUAUUGGAUUUAUCAUAUCUUUUGGAAUAAGAUGCAACAUGGGCGUGGCUAUAGUGACGAUGACGAAAAACGGGUCAACGGAAGACAAUCACCUUGUACAGAGGAAACAGCAGGAACAGCUCGAACUCCUGGGGAACAACACCAAUGCAACACUACCACCCCAGCUUCCUGAGUUUAACUGGACGCCGGAGACGAUCGGCGUGGUAGACAGCUCAUUUUUCUGGGGAUAUAUUGUAACGCAGAUUCCUGGUGGCUAUCUCGCAUCUAGAGUUCCUGCGACCAGUACUGGAAACUGUUUUAAAAGUCCAAGUCCUAUAAGGAUAUUUGGAUUGGCCAUUGGUGUUUCCGCAUUUCUCAAUCUCCUGUUGCCUGGGGCUGCUCAGGUGCACUAUGGACUGGUCAUGGCGGUCAGGAUCCUUCAGGGACUCGUCGAGGGUGUCACUUACCCAGCCUGUCACGGUAUAUGGAGACACUGGGCUCCGCCAUUCGAGAGGUCGAAGCUUGCUACCAUAUCAUUCUGCGGUUCGUACGCCGGGGCGGUGCUGGGAAUGCCACUCUCCGGAAUACUCACUAAACAAUUCGGGUGGCAGGCGGGUUUCUAUGUUUUUGGUGUCCUUGGGAUCGUUUGGUCUAUUAUAUGGUGGUUUUUCUCUUUCGAAAGACCAUCUAACAGUCCUUAUAUCUCAAAUGAAGAAAAGAUAUAUAUAGAAACGUCGAUAGGUGAAUCGACAUCAUGUAAGGAUAUGAACACACCAUGGUUCAGCUUCUUCACCUCCAUGCCUGUGUACGCCAUUAUAGUAGCCAACUUCUGUCGUAGCUGGACAUUCUAUCUCCUCAUCAUUAGUCAGCCAAUGUAUUUUAAUGAAGUUUUUAAGUUUGAUGUCACAAAGAGCGGGUUGAUAUCUGCGUUACCCCAUUUAGUGAUGGCUAUCAUUGUUCCGUUCGGUGGCCAACUUGCUGACUUCCUUCGGCGGCGGGGCAUUCUCUCUACCACCGUGGUCCGCAAAAUCUUCAAUUGUGGAGGGUUUGGGUUGGAGGCGUGCUUCCUUCUUGGAGUUGGCAUUACAAGGAACACCACCACCGCCAUGGUAUGUCUCACGCUUGCUGUCGGCUCUAGCGGAUUCGCUAUAUCUGGGUUUAACGUGAACCACCUUGAUAUCGCCCCGCGCUACGCCAGUAUCUUGAUGGGAUUGUCCAAUGGUGUGGGUACACUGGCAGGCAUGCUGUGUCCAAUCUUCACGGAACUGCUGACCAAAGGAGCAACUGCAGAUGAAUGGGAGAUCGUCUUCAUCAUUGCCAGUGUCGUUCAUUUCCUUGGUAUAACGUUCUACGGAAUCUUUGCGUCCGGAGAGAAACAGCCCUGGGCAGACCCUCCUUCAGAGGAUAUGUGGAAACCCGAGGACACUUUGAAGUCAGACGGCUCAGGGAAAAUGUUUUCUUAUGGUGCUUUUGAGGACGACUCAGGAAACAAGGACGGUACGGUUGGGGGGCCCACUAUGAACGGGAAGGCUGGAGUGACUAACGGCCAGAUUCCAUAUGAUUACGGAGAGGGAUAUGAGGGACCUUAUAAUGCGCACGCUAAAUAUUCGUUUGAUGGCCCAAUGUACCAGACAAAGGAAGAACUCGUACAAGUGCAAGCCAAGGACAAAUAUCUGACGGACGAGAGAGAUUUAUGAAAAUUUCCCUCAUAGUUAGAUCUUAUCAUUUGUUGUACAGCUACAAUAAAAAGGCGAAAGAUUCAAGGACAUUUAUAGUAAAUAUAGCACAUAUAUAUCAACCGUAGAAUUAAAUUAUUUCAUUAUUUCAGAAGCAUAAUAAAUCAUCUCCCACUGUAGUUAUUAGAAUGGUUUGAAAAUAUGUUAUAAGGUCCAUUUAUAAACUACAUGUGUUAUCAGCUUACUAUUGGAAAUACAACACAUCAAUAAGGUAAACCAGAUAAAAUGGUUCUUUCUCACAAUGAUUCCUUAUAUGUAUAAUGGUAUUUUAAGAAAUUGCAAAUGAUUUUAGUCAAACAGACACAUAUAUUUUUCGAAAGGCAUAUGACAAAACACACAAUUGCUAAAUGUACUUAAGUUGAUAAUCAACAUAAAUCUAAAGGCUUCAGCAACUCUCUCUAUACAUAUAUAUACAUCAACAAUCUGGAGGCGGUUCCUAACAUCGAGACCAUCAGGAUAUAUAUGAAGGUUAUUUAGUUAUUUAUAGAAGUUUUAUUUUGUAUGUGUUUGAUACAUGUUGACAGUUACGUUAAACACAACACUGCCAUGUGAUCUCGAGGGAAGGGUCUGUAUAUAUAGGGUUACAGAUGAUCUAUGUUUAGGACGUACUGUGAAAUAAAGUACUGUUAUGAAACUAAUAUCAUAAACUAGUCACAAUAUUGUUGUCUUAUGAUGUUUUUAGAAUGAUUUGAAUACAUGACUAGAUUAUGUAAGCUAGUCAUAUCAUUGAAUUCUAAUAACGAAUUCGGAAAACCUAGAAAGACCGAGUUAUGACAAGUAGGACACAUUGGCGUAUUAUUAAUUUCUGUACAGUUUGUAACGAGGCAUUAUACUUUCAUUGGUAACGUUUCUACUUGUCCACAUUAUAUAUCCACUUAAUGUUUAAUUUCCUUUAUUAUGUCACUUUCGUGUAGGUACUUCUUACUAUUGUUGAAAUGUACACCCCUGUGUCGUCAUGGUGACCUAUAAAAUAGGCUUCUACCUGUCCGAAUAUAGAUAACAUUAUAUAUAUAUCACAGUGGCAUCCAAUUAAUAACGAGCAGUUGAAUUGCCGAGGAUAUGUGAUACACUGAUAUGUAACAACACGUAAGAGUUAACAUAAAUGUUAGGAACAAAACACUGACAACUAACAACAAAGAAAAUGUUACAGGGAUCGUUACGUUUAAAUAUCAAAAUAUAAAACUUUCUUUGGUGUUAUUUAAUCCUUAUAGAAUGUUUUUAUAACAAACAAAAUGAACAAUAAAACAUUCCCAGAUUUACGUAGGCUGAACUGCAAUACAAUUCAUAUUAAAUUCUAGAGUAGUUACAUGUGUGUAGAUAUUAAUCAGUCUUAUUAUUUGUUUAACGAUAUAAUUAUGAAGUAACAAAAGGGAAUGACCUUUUAAAUAACAGUUUGAAAUACACGAACUGUACAUAAUUAAAUUUGUUUAAAUUCGGUCGAAAACAACUAAGUAGUGAAUAUUUAAGCUCCUGAAUGUUAAUGUCUGAGAGAAGAACGUUCUAAUUGUCAUGUGCGAUAUUUGAUAUAAUGGGAAAUUCAGAAAUAUGGUAGUCGGAAAAGAGGUACCUUCAGAACAAAUGUACUUAAAAGAUAUGUUUUUGCAUAAAUAUUAAAUGUUACAUGAAUUCGAAAAUAAUGUUCAUAUUUUUGCAAGUUAUUGAUAAUCUACAGUAAAUGAAAACACCAGUAUCCGGUAUACCAGAAUGUAACUCGAUGUGUGGAUGUUAUAUAAUUGUUUUUCAUACCUACAAGAGAUUACGACAUUGAGGUUUAUGAUAACUUGCUUUAAACAACAUGAUACUGCAUGUUUGUUCUAUGAUAGUUUACAUGUUAAAAGAUGAUACUACAUUUCGGUCUAUGCUAGUUUAUAUGUUAAAAGAUGAUACUACAUUUCGGUCUAUAAUUGUUAAUAUGUUAAAAGAUGAUAUUACAUUCCGGUCUAUGAUAGUUUAUUUGUUAAAAGAUGAUACUACAUUUCGUUAGUAAUGAUAGAUAAUUAUUUUAAAAUAGGUUAUUACAUUUUGGUCAUGAUAGUUAAUUUUAUUAAACGAGGUUACUCGUUUUGGCCAUGAUAGUUAAUUGUAUUAAAAGAGAUUAAUAAAUUUUGGUUAUGAUAGUUUAUCUUAUUGAAGGAGGUUGCUAUAUUUUGGCCAUGAUAGUAAAUUGUAUUAAACGGGGUUACCACAUUUUGGUCAUGAUAAUUUGUAUAUGAAAAUAGGAUGCUAUUCCUAUCAAUUAUUGACAUUUGUUGAGGUGAAUAUGCAGUUAUAUGAACCUGAGAACAAUGGAUAGGUUCUGGUCUAUGUAACAGAUACUUGCCAAAAUGAAAUUCCUUAAUUGUUAAAAUGAAUCAUAAAUUACGAAAAUUAAGCGAAUUGUCAAGAAAACAAUACUACUUUUGGCGGAGAGUAUCAUAACUUAAGAAUUGAAGUGACGUCAUAAAGAUAAUUUUGACCAUUUUCUAACAAUAUUAGCACCUAGUCCGAUCACCAACCUCCGUGUGAUUAGGAUUCAACAAAGGUAAAUGUAAAAACAAAUUGUAUCAUCUGAUAUUUCGGUUUUUGAAAGUUUGUUCAUUCCAGGUUUGAUUUAGUUUGAUUUACUAUUGUUUAACGUCCUAUCAACAGCUAUGGUCCAUUACAGGAGAAGACUGCAGUGAUGUUGAUGAUACUUUGUUAUGAUAAACUUCUCUGUUAUAUUGAUAGUCGUUGUUGGUUACGUUUUAUAUGUACUUCAUAUUUUAAUACCUUUUUUGAAGAAAACGUACAUUAGAAACAACUGUGAAAAAUAUAUGUGUGAUACCACAGAGUGAUAUCCUUUCUAUGUGUGUGAUCAUUAAUCAUUGUAUGACAAUAUAGUUAAAUUCUUUCUAUUAUUUGGGUUGUUUUGCUACCGUUAUAAUGGCGUUAUAAAUCACCGUUCUACAUAGGUACUAUAGAUCUGUGUUUGUUAGAGUAUAAAACUUUGUAGUUUGAAGAUUAUAAAAUCAGUUGUAUUGGUUAUGCAAAUAUAAUUGGAUAAUUUGA